rnacentral:rRNA from 1 species
GAUAAAGGUUGGAAAAAAAAAAACGUCGGGAUAAGGGAGCUGGCUCGGAGGGAGGGCUCGCUUGGUGGUCUCAGGAGUGGCUCGCGCUGUCGAUCCCAAGGACCGGCCGGGAGGCGGCGCCGCGCUGGUCGGCCGGCUUCGGAGGCGGCGGGGCGGCGGGCAUGUCCUAGGGAGGCAGCUCGUUGGGAGGGUGGUGGUCGUCGCGGAGGGAUGGCCCUGGGCGGCGAGGGCGGGCCGUUGCGGCGGCGGGCCCCGGUGCGGCCGCUGGCCAGGCAUCCGUCAACCUUGUCCCGUAGCUGCAACAGUUAACCUCCCCGAACCUCGACGAAACCGUAGAUGUCAUCUCGUUUGAUCUUCCAAUACAAACGUCUGUAUCUAAAAUCUUUCGUGGUUGGAAGACCAUUACGUUGGAGAUGAUCAUACCACGGGGACCUACAAGGUUCAGUCCGUGGACUCUUCUAAUUAAGAGACUUAGUUCACUAAAGUCGUCUACAUGGUACGUUCCGAGGACAACUAAAACUAUGCUCUCUUGAAAUGAAAGAGUAACGCGUGAAGAAUAGUGUACCAGGUAAUUUCGCCUGACGACCUCUUGAAACGUCACUUGAGGUCCUCGUAGUAGACGAAGGAUCUUCUAUAGUACGAACCAUAAGCGCACCACCAAAGGUAUCACCGCUUCUUUUACUACUGCCACAUAGUGAGGGAAACCUAAUGGAGUUCAAUCAACUCUCUAUAGGGGUGUAACCAUUUCUGGUGAACCAUUUCGAAAAUUUCGUUGACUACCAACCAAGGACGGUGGGUCUCUCGAACUAACCUCGACACAGAGGUUUACGACGACUACAAGGUUGGGAAGAACCGAGGUUGAGUAAAAGGGAAGAACGUAGAUUAUCCCCGGCCGUUCUUUUCCUUUUAGUGUCCAACGGCUGCAUAGAGGCAACCGGUGUAUAUGUCCGACUAGUUCAAGUACCAAAUUCAAAUUCUCUCUAACCACCGAAGUGAUUCUUAGUAGCUCGAGGAAGACAGGCACGUAGUACAAUACGGUAACGCUUCGGUAGAUGGGAACAACUUUUCUACGUUUAAUAUUUCUUUAACUCCCCUGUAGUUUUGCGACACAUAACACGAUGAAAACUAGCGUGUCCCGCAAAACAAUAAUGACCAAGACUACUAGCGGAACAAUUUUAAACCCGUUACCUUUGACGUAAAACAGACCGAUCGACGGCUCCAGUACUUCCACUAUAAUGACUGGAGCGCCACUCAAGGUUAUUACGACACCAUCGUAGAAGUCGGUUACUAAAGCAAUAAUCUCACACCGCAUAUGGACUACCGUACGGCUAGAGUCACAACUUCCCCGUAUGUCCCCAACAUUGACGAUAACGUAAAUCGGGUUCCGGUCCACGACGAAAGGUCGAUAACAGUAGUAGUCUACUGCCCUGUACGUCCUAAACCCUACGGGCUAUAAGAGUUGUUGGAGGUGCUUAUAUAUGUGGUUUUGGAGGUCUACGACGGGGACCCUUCUCACCACUACGUAGAAGGUCACGACAAGUUCAAGUUGGUUAUUUAGUGGUUUAGAACACAACACGUAAAUUACGGUUACCUUGACACAAACAAUGACCGUCGAGUCUGUGAAAACGUUCCCACACCUUACGAACGUUCUCAUCAAGACUCCUUGUACUGGUCGGCUUAGUACUCUACCUACAUAAUAGCCCGGUACUUUUACUACAUUUGAUACACGUCAAAUCACCUACACACCAUAGAUCUAGGAAAAGUAGACUUCCGUCGGUGUGGUGAUUCCUUCUUUUAUUAGAAUUUGAUUCUUUAAGUACCAAGUGUGUAUUAUAACAAUGAACGAGGGCACUACCGUCACGUUAAUAUACCCAAGGUGCUAGAGCCUCUAGCGUACCUUUCUAACCUGCUACCUGUGCACGAAUGGUAGAGUUCCAGGGAGGUGGAGGUUACCGAGGAGUUGAUCAAGCACCACCGGGUGCUGUUUCUGUAGUCGGUUGAGGAGCACCACAGUUAUACUAACAGACCUCAAACCUAUUGGCUAAACACGAACGACGAUAGUACCUGACGUCUUAAACACAAACCUUACGAAGACUACCCUCGAAUCAUGUAAGUGACUAACCGGUGUUCCUUAGAUGUAAACAAGAACUACACGUAGGUAAGUUGGGAGCAUAUCGUUACUCACGACCCAUACUACCGUACUGUUAGUAGACCCUAUAUACCCUUCCUUUUGGACAUGUCUAGAUACUUUGGCCAGUAAAAUUCGAUCAACUACCGUUCAAGAGAGGCCUACCUUGUAGUGAAUAGGAGUGGCUACUCUAACCGGUUUAUAAGAAAUAACCAUGUCCCGUCCCACUCAGGGUCUUCCUACGCUUUAUACUAGUCAAGAAAGAACCUCUGAUAGCUGGGGAAUGAGUUCUAUGUUUACCUUUACAAUAACUAGUCCUCUGUGUCGAGGGUGGAAUAUCCUCUUUAUAAGUUCUGGAAAACACACUGAGCCCAUACUACGGUAUGGGUCUCGGAAAAGUUUCGUACAUGGUCUUUGCCGCUAAUCCAUGGUACCCAUAACUCACCGCCGGAGGGAGACAUCUAAAACGACAACCGGGGUGCAUGUUACGUUGGUGACCACUUAUGGUCUAGUAGGGUCAGUAACUAGGUCUAUCCACCCUCGGUGAAGGUCUCUAUGGCCUGAAGAAACUCGAACUUGGACUCUAACUUCAAUAGAGACUACUAUGACUAAGGCUCAUGUUGCCGUACCUACUGUUCAGAUCACUUCCUCUUGUCCUCUUAAACUCACCACUAAGGAGACCACGAAGUAUGAGUUCACGUCUCUAACUACCCUUGUUGGAAUCGCUAUCACGAUUAGAAGCGUCUAGAUCUUCUUUCUUCUUUUUUAGUUUCCGACUAGAACACUGAAGUAGACCAGCCGCUCAAUUCUUCUCCUUAAACCUACUCGUACUACGACGAUGACACAGUUCCAGUGUGUCUCGAUCCUUCAGAUUCUUACCAGCGAGAUCAUUUUCCUUUUCUAGUGGAUUUAGAUCCCCUAACGCUGGAGUUUCUGCGCGACGAGCGGUACGUGAGUCAAAAAAUUGUUUCUACCCUCGAAGUUGUCUACUCCUACUUCUCCUGAGUCUCUCAGAGAGUCUGUCACUUAACUUGUGCCUUUCGUAACUUCGACUCGGCAGUCGUACCAUAUCGGCCGGUUCUGAACCAUCUCUCUCAUUGGUUAUACUAAGUCUUCUACAAUGUGUUGGAAGAGUAAAGUGACUUUGAGCCCCCUCAAGACCUUUAUUGUCUUUUGACCAGGACUCCUAUGGUGCGGCACUAAAUUUUCAACUUAAAGGUAGUCGACAUAGUCAGUACCCCCCGUCUGUACCUAGUCAACUCGGCCUUGAUCGAAAACUCGGACCUUCAAGGAGACAAACGUUCCGACUGGGUGGACGUCUACCUCCAGUUUCGUGUUGUUGGAGACCAGAUGUACUACAAAGAAGACAAAUAUCAUUGUCGUGUUAGUUCACCCCACUCCAAUUCGUCGCUAGAAGUUUCGCAACGUUCAAACCACUGAGAAGGCGACCUCUGUACACCGGGAGAAGUUUAUUACGUCAAAGUGUCCUACCACCGUUUAGACCACAAGUCUUCUGUGGAGUACUUAUACCAUUGCGGUACGUUGUUUGCCAACUCGUCUGACAUGUUUUCUCACUUGCACGUUAAACAGACCUAUCGUAGGUACUUUUAGUGCUAUGACUACAAAUAUCACUUCUAUUAAAUGAACCACUUCUUUCCUGUUGAUUAUUGUUAUUAUGAGUACAUCUCCUUCAUUUGUUGUUUCUUACGUUGGUUGUCAGGGUGUCAUGAUGAGUCAGAUGAUAGUUUGACUUCAAUCAGUCCAGUUCUCCGUAAGGUCUACGUUUUCCAAGUGGCCUGUUUAGUUUCUGAUGACGUCAUCCCUCACUGCACUUGAGACUCACACUAUUUCAAGGGUACGUCGUACUACUCCUAGGAUGGUGGUUAGUUGUAUAUUCGUCACUGAAGGGAUCACGCAGAUCUCUAAAGGUCCUUACGUGUCUAUUUUCGUGACCAAAAGUACUAAGUUCCUUCAAGGUAAGACUUAGACCCUUCUGCUAACGACACAUGGUUUCCAGUUUCAAUUCAUUCGUGUUCUUUUUUAACCUAAGUCUAAGACCGUUACCUCUAUCAUGGAGGCAGAGGUUACUACUACCACCCAUAGUUGGAAGUCUCAUGUCAGGACAACGUGGACCAUGACCAUUAAACGCUUCUUCGUGUUCCUCCAGUACACGUAUGUGACUACCACCUCGUUCCUUACGAUAGAGAGUACACUUUUUAAGAAGGGUACUUCGUAGUUGAUCACCCUCUGUUUAACCACGUCUGCACGUACUCACCCCAAGUGGUAGUUUCUGACGACCAAAUUCCAGAUGAUCCUUGUCUCAAGGACUAUGUGUAAGUAACCGUCUUUUCGGAGUUCAUAGGAGCUCAACAACCAACUACAACAACCUCGUACUUCUAUAAAUGGCAAUAUAAGGAGUUGUACCGCUACUCCAAUACAUGGACGCUGUCCCGGUACUUCUUAUAGAAUUUCCUUACGCUAAUAGCCUAUCAACGGGUACCUUAGCCUAGUUUCCGGAAUUUCGACAUCUCGAAACGUUUUAAGUCCUAGAAACAAUAUGGUGAAUAUUUCCCAGACCACUUUCGACGACAUUUAAUUGUGAAUUUAAGUAACUGCUGUGAAGUUCGCCCAAAUUGUCUCUCAAACAUUAGUGUAACGGACUCGACCAACCGAAGGGGCUAAAAGACCACCUUUCUUGUGCCAAACUUCGACGACAACGCGUCUUGACCUGAUAGUCUCUAUUCACGUCUUAAACCACCCGCUUACUACUCCCUCCUCCUUCAACCACCCUCCCUGCACACAACCGUUAUUCUGGAUUCAGUGGACUAAAAGGACUCUCAGGUACCCUAUUUAUACGGCAUGUCAUGUUCUUACUACCAAGUCUAGUAGACGUAUCGGGGACCCUCGAGAUACUACGACUAUCGGGUAACCAAGGUACCUUUGUAGGUGUAUAACUAAGGUCAUAAUCCUUAUUUAACAAUAGUCGUCACUUAUUAAAUGUCUUGUUCAGAGCGUCUUUGGUCCUAGUGAUACCACAGGACUUCAACCUAUGACAACGUCCUUUUAGUCUCAAGUAUUUGUCCAAAGGACAGGUCAAAAGGUACCUCCACUAGUCCUGUUCUGACGUUUUACCAAUGAUGUCUUCGCACCUCCGACAGGUUGUACUACGGAGACACUACGAACGGUUACGGCUCAGAAUGAAGAGUUUCUCGCGCCUGUACUGGUUCUUCGAAGAGUCCGAUAGGCUCACCCAGCUUCUAUUGUAGGAUAGUGAAAUCCCCCUCCACCGGAAGAAGGAACAAGAACAACUAACUCUUCUACUGUAGACUUCGUUCGUAUCAAAACAAUCUGCUUACCCGGUUUCAUUUCAUCAAGCGACCAACCCUCCUCUAUCUCUAAGUAGAAAUGAUUGUUGACAGCGGUAUCAAGACUUUCUUUUCGUUUUAAUCUUUCUCUUCUACGAUCGCAGCACUUUAGACAGUCUUUUACGAAAUCGUCUAGUAACCUAAACAUAUCUGAUAACACGUAGUAGUCAGUUAGUCAUUUUUGCGUUCCGUUUAUUAGCCAACCCAUCUUAUAAGUGUUGAAUCGAUAACGAACAGAACCCACGG